CAGUAGCCACGGGAAUACGUAGGGUGCAAGCGUUAAUCGGAAUUACUGGGCGUAAAGCGUGCGCAGGCGGUUAUAUAAGACAGAUGUGAAAUCCCCGGGCUCAACCUGGGAACUGCAUUUGUGACUGUAUAGCUAGAGUACGGCAGAGGGGGAUGGAAUUCCGCGUGUAGCAGUGAAAUGCGUAGAUAUGCGGAGGAACACCGAUGGCGAAGGCAAUCCCCUGGUCCUGUACUGACGCUCAUGCACGAAAGCGUGGGGAGCAAACAGGAUUAGAUACCCCUGUAGUUCCUGUCUCUUAUAC
rnacentral:rRNA from 1 species